rnacentral:sRNA from 1 species
UGUCCUGAGGAUCUCUUUCCUCGACCAAUUCCGUGAUUGCUCUCUCGAUGGGAGACAACCCUCUCGGCGAGGUCGACGUUUGGUGGCUGUCAAGAUAGCGAGAUGUGUAUGAGUAGUACUGCGCUGCAUCCUGCAGAGAAUGUAUACCCAGACCAUAAGCUUUGCGGACAUACGCCUGCAGGUCCUCGCUGGUAUGGAUCGGUUCUAGCCCCCCUAUCCGGUGUUUAUUCCAGUCGCAGGGCAUCCAGCAUGGUGUCGAUUUAGCUUUCAGUCUGCUCUUUGUUGAUUGCAACAUACAUCCGAUUUUGAGAACCAUCUUCACAGAAGGUUAAAAGACAAGACAAACAUAACACGAGG